UACGUAGGAUGCAAGCGUUGUCCGGAAUUAUUGGGCGUAAAGAGCGCGCAGGCGGUUUUACAAGUCAGGUGGGAAAUAUCCGGGCUUAACCCGGAGGGGUCAUUUGAAACUGUGAGACUAGAGUACAGCAGAGGAUAGCGGAAUUCCCGGUGUAGUGGUGAAAUGCGUAGAUAUCGGGAGGAACACCAGUGGCGAAGGCGGCUAUCUGGGCUGAAACUGACGCUGAGGCGCGAAGGCUAGGGGAGCAAACAGG
rnacentral:rRNA from 1 species